rnacentral:tRNA from 1 species
GCCAGUAUGGCUCAGUGGUUGAGCAUCUACCUAAUGAACCAGGAGGUCUGGGUUCAAUUCCCAGUUGGGCA